UUUAAACGAAUUGCCCUUGUAGUCAUAUGCUUGUCUCAAAGAUUAAGCCAUGCAUGUCUAAGUAUAAGCAAUUUAUACAGUGAAACUGCGAAUGGCUCAUUAAAUCGGUUAUCGUUUAUUUGAUAGUACCUUACUACUUGGAUAACCGUGGUAAUUCUAGAGCUAAUACAUGCUUAAAAUCCCGACUGUUUGGAAGGGAUGUAUUUAUUAGAUAAAAAAUCAAUGUCUUCGGACUCUUUGAUGAUUCAUAAUAACUUUUCGAAUCGCAUGGCCUUGUGCUGGCGAUGGUUCAUUCAAAUUUCUGCCCUAUCAACUUUCGAUGGUAAGAUAGUGGCCUACCAUGGUUUCAACGGGUAACGGGGAAUAAGGGC
rnacentral:rRNA from 1 species